CGAGAGGACCGGAGUGGACGAACCUCUGGUGUUCCGGUUGUCACGCCAGUGGCAUUGCCGGGUAGCUAUGUUCGGAAAAGAUAACCGCUGAAAGCAUCUAAGCGGGAAACUUGCCUCAAGAUGAGAUCUCACUGGAACCUUGAGUUCCCUAAAGGGCCGUCGAAGACUACGACGUUGAUAGGUUGGGUGUGUAAGCGCUGUGAGGCGU
rnacentral:rRNA from 1 species